UCGACGGCAGCACAGAGGAGCUUGCUCCUUGGGUGGCGAGUGGCGGACGGGUGAGGAAUACAUCGGAAUCUACUCUGUCGUGGGGGAUAACGUAGGGAAACUUACGCUAAUACCGCAUACGACCUACGGGUGAAAGCAGGGGAUCUUCGGACCUUGCGCGAUUGAAUGAGCCGAUGUCGGAUUAGCUAGUUGGCGGGGUAAAGGCCCACCAAGGCGACGAUCCGUAGCUGGUCUGAGAGGAUGAUCAGCCACACUGGAACUGAGACACGGUCCAGACUCCUACGGGAGGCAGCAGUGGGGAAUAUUGGACAAUGGGCGCAAGCCUGAUCCAGCCAUACCGCGUGGGUGAAGAAGGCCUUCGGGUUGUAAAGCCCUUUUGUUGGGAAAGAAAUCCAUCUGGUUAAUACCCGGGUGGGAUGACGGUACCCAAAGAAUAAGCACCGGCUAACUUCGUGCCAGCAGCCGCGGUAAUACGAAGGGUGCAAGCGUUACUCGGAAUUACUGGGCGUAAAGCGUGCGUAGGUGGUCGUUUAAGUCCGUUGUGAAAGCCCUGGGCUCAACCUGGGAACUGCAGUGGAUACUGGGCGACUAGAAUGUGGUAGAGGGUAGCGGAAUUCCUGGUGUAGCAGUGAAAUGCGUA
rnacentral:rRNA from 2 species